CGGAUCGGAGUCUGCAACCCGACUCCGUGAAGCUGGAUUCGCUAGUAAUCGCGCAUCAGCCAUGGCGCGGUGAAUACGUUCCCGGGCCUUGUACACACCGCCCGUCAAGCCAUGGGAGCCGGGGGUGCUUGAAGUGCGUCGCCGCAAGGCGCGCCCUAGAGCAAAACCGGUGACUGGGGCUAAGUCGUAACAAGGUAUC
rnacentral:rRNA from 1 species